UGGGGAAUAUUGCACAAUGGGCGCAAGCCUGAUGCAGCCAUGCCGCGUGUGUGAAGAAGGCCUUCGGGUUGUAAAGCACUUUCAGCGAGGAGGAAGGGUAGUGUGUUAAUAGCACAUUGCAUUGACGUUACUCGCAGAAGAAGCACCGGCUAACUCCGUGCCAGCAGCCGCGGUAAUACGGAGGGUGCAAGCGUUAAUCGGAAUUACUGGGCGUAAAGCGCACGCAGGCGGUUCGUUAAGUCAGAUGUGAAAUCCCCGCGCUUAACGUGGGAACUGCAUUUGAAACUGGCAAGCUAGAGUCUUGUAGAGGGGGGUAGAAUUCCAGGUGUAGCGGUGAAAUGCGUAGAGAUCUGGAGGAAUACCGGUGGCGAAGGCGGCCCCCUGGACAAAGACUGACGCUCAGGUGCGAAAGCGUGGGGAGCAAACA
rnacentral:rRNA from 1 species